UUCUGGGGAGCAGGGGUGGGUGUUUAAAAUGGAAUAAUACAGUCAUUAGCCUGGUUUCCCUUUAAAGAUAUUUUAAAAAUAAUUUUUUUUUCAUUUAUGUGUCUGUGUAGGUAUGUACCAUACAGGUUCACACAGAAGCCAAAAGAGACCACGAGAUCCCAUGAAACUGAAAUAUGCCAUUCCUGUGUGUGCUGAAUCCUUUGCAAGAGCAGGAUGUACUCUUAAAUGCCUAGGGGAUGAGUGGUGAAAAUCUCAUUUUGUGAACUCGAUGUAGGCAUUGUUGGUCUAGAAAAUUCACCAUGGACAAUAUCUAGAGACUACAUCUGUGUGUUUGCAAAACUUGAUACCCACUAUGCUAUAGGUUUUAUUUUUUUUAAUUUUGAGAAAUACCUUUAUUACAUUAUGUCAUUCACUUUUACAGAGAUAACAAGAGGUGGGAUAAUUGUUCCCAUUUUGUGGCAGAGGAAAUGGAGGCCCAGGGUGGUUCAGAUAAAUGAAAAUAAGUGGAUAAAAGAUAAGUAAUUAGAUGUAUGAGUCACAUAUUGAAUGAGUAUUACAGUUAGUCAGAGAUUUCCCCAGUCCUCACAUUUCACUGUUUGCUAAGUGUCUUUCAGGGUUUCCUUUGAACUAGACACUUUACAUGAUACUCAAGAAGUAUUAAUAAGGCAAAAUCUUCAAUCUCAUGAAACACAGAGUAGUUGAAAAACAGACCACCUCUUAGCAGAAUUCUACCUGCUAAAAUUAAAGCAAAUUCCAAGAGUGUAUAGGAGCCAUGGGAAAUGCUGCCUCUGUGUGAGUCAUAAUUUAAAUUAGUAAACAGGGCUGCUUGAGGUACAGUCAAAUCGUGUCAGUGCAGGGGUUGGUAAUUAUUUCCCUUUGUGCAAUGGGAAAUCUAUGCCUGGGUGCCAGUCUUGGUUAAAAAGUACCAGGUACUACCUGUUUACUCCCUUCCUUUCCACAGAGGACAAUCAUAUGUUUGGUAUUGUACCAUCUUCAACCUCAAGGCUAAAGGUAGAUAUUGUUAGGAGUAGAGGCUCAUGGAUGAUGAACCAUGAGCUAUCUUUGGAAGAUAAUAAAGCACUAACAAAAUGAAUGAAAGGAUAUGAGCAGAUGGAAGGAAGAACAUAGGUGAAUCCCAGGGGUUAGGAACUGUGUGGUGCUUCCAAGAUCCAAUCAGGGCAGUUGGUCUUUGUUGAAGAGUGGCAAGGGAGCCAGAGAAUGGAUUAAAUGAGGUAAGCAAAUUUCAGUGUAAGUACGAGAAUAAACCUAUCACUUCCUCUCCAAACUUGGGUACAAUGCUAGGCAUGGGAUCUGUACUCAAUAGCAUCUAUUGUAUAAUAUAGAAAGGGAUCAUAAACCAUAUUAACUGCUCUUCUUACUCUCACAUAUAUUAGCCAGUCAUCAAAAUGUCCUUUUUGAUACCAUUCCAACAGAAAAAACUAUAAUCCAACUAUUAAUGCAUUUGUGACGCCCACUGCCUUAUAGAGAUAUACAGUACUUACAGCACUGUGUGGUGAUUGGAGGUUAGAAGAGUCAGGGGCAGAAAAAAGACUCUGGCUAGGUUGUAGGUUGUACAGGACUAUAGCAAAGUACAAAAAAUAAACAGCUUCCUCUGACACAAACUUCUUGUCCAAACUUGAGGAAUUCCUUUGACUAUGUGAAUGAACAAGAAUAUAUAUACCAUUAGCAUCUAAUAAGGUAGUGAUGUCCUCUCUCUAGGCUGCUGCAGCUAGAACAUACUGCAUUUAAGCACCCAGUUGAGAACUGUUAGCCCAGGAGUGGUAGGAACCCAUGUAACUAUUUAUCCACCAUGGUAGACAUGAUGAAUGGAGACAAGAGUUCCAGGGACUGAGAACAGUGGAAGUUAAAUAACCCUAGCCUAAAGAGUCCAAGGGAACUUUGGAGCCAGAGAAGGCUUGGUGUGACUGAAGAAGCUUUAAAAUGUGGGAACCAGCAUCUCUGUCAAACAAUUUUCUGAUAUAGUUUUUACUCCCAGAAAAAUCUGAGGAUUGUGAUUUGAUAACUGAAAAAUUGUAAACCAUAAAGGGACUUGUUUAUCCUGUGAGUUUGAAAGACUUACAUAUCAGGUAUUGAUGACAUGUAGACUUGUAGCAGAAAAACAAAGAGUGUUUAUGACUGUAUGAGGCAAAAUCAAGCAUUUCUCCUUAACCUCAGGAAUCAAGCUAUGUCAAGUAGCACAGAAAUGUGUGAACCAAACAACAUUCCAUUAUUAUAAUUUGAUAAUUAUAUGGACGUUGUUUAAACUGUGCUUUUAUAACAGUCACGUGAUAGUUUCUGUUCUGUUGCUGUCUUAAAAACCAUGCACAAGGCAACUUAUGAAAGAAAGCACUUAAUUAGAGGCUUGCUUAAAGUUUCAGAGGAUUAAUCCAUGACCAUCAUCAUGGAGAAUAUGGUGGCAGAUAGGUAGGCAUGGUGCUGGAGUGGUAACUGAUAUCUUACAUAUUACCUGAAAUAUGGAUACAGAGUAAGAAAGAGGCAGAGAUACAGAGAUAGAUACACACACACACACACACACACACACACACACACACACACACAGAGAGAGAGAGAGAGAGAGAGAGAGAGAGAGAGAGAGAGAGAGAGAGCUGGUUUAGGCUUUUGAAACUUCAAAGCCUAACCUUAGUGAUACAACUUCUUUAAUGAGGUCACACCACCUAAUCAUUCCUAAACAGUCAACUAACUGGGAACCAAACAUUCAAAGUUUUUGAGUUAUGGGCCAUUCUCAAACCAUGACAUCUAGGCUUGUAGCAAGGAAACAAAAAGAGCUGAUAAAAUGUAAUGUACAGGGCAUAAUAAAUAUAUUUAACCUACUUUAACAAACUUUAGCUCCCAGGAAUCAGAUUUUGUCAAAUAUGGGUUUUUGUAUAUCUAUCAAACUAUAUUCCAUUACCAUAAUUCCACAACUACAUGGGCUGUCUUAAAAGGUUUUUGAUAGCAGUGAUUCAAAUGUAUCCACCCUCUUUUGUAAAAUUAAUAGUGAUGACUCAAAUAGUUUAAUGAGUCAAAGUACUUAUGAGCUUUAUUGAGGGUUUUAUUUGUUUUUAUUGUCAGUAGAUUCAUCCCAUGCCCUUUAUUCAUGAUGCAAUACAUUUUUUAUGAGCUGUUUAAAUACAAGUAAAUAAUUGUAUCCAGCUUCAGUAGUAACAAUUAUGUAAACAAGUUAGCACUAUGGUGAAAAGCAAUUAUGUAUCCAUGAUUCUAGAGGUAGACACUUGGCAGGUGUUUGCCACUUAUAAGGCAGCAGUGGUAAGAUACUUAUGGAUGAAUGGCAAGUUAGAUGUGCUCAGUAAUUAAACUCAAAAUUGUUUGUAAAAUCACACAUAGACCACUGUAGGCUACAUUUUCAAAUCAGUUCCUCACUUAAGAUGUAGGUCUACAUACUGGAAUAAUGGAUUCUAAUUUGCUAUAAUUUGAGAGCUUAUUAGAGUAUUUGUUUUUCUUUUGAAAUUAUUAUGUCAUUGUAUUUAUUUGUAAGAUUCAAGAUUGUACUUGAGUCAUGUACAUAUUAGAGUAAGUAGCAUUUCUUCACAUUAUCAACCAGAACAUCAUUUUAAUGACAUUCUAUCCCAUGGAUCCACCUGCCAGUUCUUCAGACUAAGUAAUUUAUAGAAUUUUAAGGCAAAGAAUGGAUAUCUUCUCAAGUUUAAGGAAUAUAUAUUUCUUUUCAGUUUUAUAAGAGCACACAGAACUCUUUUAUAAUGGGAAAUGCCUUAAACAGAAUUAGGAGAGCUGCAAAAUCUUUAGGGAAUCUGCUCUCUCAGUUUUUAAAUUGCUUUUCUCUUUAGGCUCACUCUAUAUUUCCCUCCAUGGACCAGUUUUAUUUGCAAGGCCCUCAUUUUUAAUUCUCUAUAAUACCAAAUUUGAAUUACCACUCUAGUGCCAAAAUCUAUCAGUGGCAUAUCAACCUUUGAAGGUUUUCUUCCCAGUAAAGGCUGGAAUAAAUUUUCAUGAGGAAUAAAUAUUGUCAAAGAAGAGGCAAAACUGGAGGCUCACCUUUUUACAAGUCAUCUAGUUUUGGCAGGUUUGAGAAGAAAUGUGGUGUGAACCAAAAAGCUUAUGGGCACUACUUUAAUAGGAAAAAACAAGAAGGCUAACACUCCAUGUAUGAAAGAAACUGAUCAAACCAGAUCAAUAUCACCAUAAUAACUGUCUUAUAUCUCAAAUACCAUUCACUCAAUCUAUUGAGUUUAUUAUUUAGGGUAAAUCAUACCUCACCAUUUUGGACAGUGAAAAGUCAAUCAUUUUAUGCUGUCCCAUGUUUUAAAGCAUAUUUAAAGUGGAUCGGUAUGGUGACAAUUCUGGGUUGUUAGCUUAACUUUGUCUUUAUUGAACUGCAAUCCAGAAAAGGAGGGCUCACUUGUGAAAGACUAUUUUUCAUUGGGUGAAUCCACUUCUAGUCCAGACCUUUGAGGUAGAAAGGCAUAUAUGCCUUUGAUCCAGAUCUUUAGGCAGGAAGACACAAAUUUAAUCUGGGCCACACCUUGGAAGAAAGAAGUUUUUGUUCCUUGCCUGCUUGUCCUUACCCUGUUAGAACAUCUAUUCCUUCAUUGUCACAGAAACCUACUUCUUCGAGAUUCCAGUAGACACUGAAAGAGCAGCUGAGAUGUGUAGCCUGAAUUCCUGCAGUUUCCAUUCCCAGCUAGCCAUUCGUGGACUAGCUGAACAUUAGUCUUUAAGCCAUUUCAACAAAUUUUAUAUCUAUCACCUAUCUAUCUUCUAUCUAUCUGUCUGUCUGUCUGUCUGUCUAUUUACCUACCUAUGCAUUUGACUAAUACAAUAGGGUAAAGUCUAAGAUCUUGAAUAAUUUAAGGAACUGUGAGCAUUAUGCAAACAUCUUGGUAUAUACCUUUGGAUGAAGCUGGAACUGCUACCUCAUUUUACAGAGUUCGGGGCUCAGGAAUAAAGAGAAACAGAGUUUCUUCUUUUACUCGAAUGUGCAUGUGUUUGACAAAAGGGACACAAAAUGUCUAUGAAAUGAAAAAAAAUGAGUGAAGAGAUCUAUGAUGAAGAUCACUUCAUGCAAAAAUGUUUAUGCAAUUGGUUCUGAGCUGAAAAGUUGAUGCUGUGGGUGCAUGAGCAUGUAGUUGCACAGACAUGAAUGUACUUUUAUCUUUAGGGCAUGACCACUAGACUGUAAAGAUAAAAAGAUUAAAAUGAUCUACUACUAUUUAUCAAUGUCAAGAGCACAGUUUUCCUUCUAUAAAUUAUGUAUUUUAUAAUAGACUAGGCCAUCUUAGUCUAAAACCCAUCAGACUCUUGAAACUUCAAUUUCACAUUAACUGUGAAGUUCCUUGUUUGAACUAUUUUAGUUCUCAUUGUAUACUCCAUUUAAAUAUGUAACUAUCUCUGAAACUUCUUAGCUUCACCUCUAUCUUGAGUCCUGAUUAUUAAGUGAGUAUCUAAUUUUCUAAGCUUCGAUAGGAAGUGUUGACUGAAAUGAAGACUUGUGUUUUUCUGUGGAUAUCUUAACUUCUGGGCUCAUUGACUAGCAACCUUGAUUCAUCUACUUCCAGGUUAUGGGAAACCUGUAGCUCUCUUUCAUACAUCUAGAAUAAGAACUGGAUAGUCUUACUUUGGAUCUAUAGUUGCCAGAGAAUUUUCAUGCUAUAAAUAUUUAGGAAUCCCUGUAUCUGAAUGUAGUCAGUAUACCUAUAGCAUAAGAAACAAUACUCACAGCUCUAAUCACAGUUACCCGUUAUACUUCUUUCCCCACCGCCUUCUAGAAUUCUCACCAUAUAUGUGUCAUAUGAAUACCCUGGACUACAGAGACAACAACAUAUAAUCUGGUGCUUCUUAUGCCUAUAAAGACUGGGACACAGUAAUUUUAACAGAGUCUGGCUCUUGCCCAGGAACUUCCAAAGGGAGUUCCUGCUCAAUAAACCUGUUCUCCUGGAGUGGAAAUACCUGUAUAUGCAUGUCUCUUGUGUUUUCAAAGCAGGGAACACUAUGAAGAGAAAAGACAAAUAGAAAAGAAGAAAGUUUUCAAUCUGCUACAACCUGUGACAUAAAACCAUAUAUGGUUACAAGAGCUGAUGACCGAGCCAGGGCCUUGCGCUUGCUAGUGGCGGCAUGAAUAAUGAGUGAAGCCAAAGCUUUGGUGAAAAUAUAAUCCUGGGAAGUACCAAAGCAACUGAAAGCAUUGGAAGUAAGCUGUAUGUUUUAGGAUAACUCUGGGUAAUUCUCAGCCAACAACUCAGGAAAGAGGUUCACAUCUGGUACUAGGAUUUUCAUUUCAUAACCUAUGGCUUCUCACAAAGCAUUAUCCAUCUAUGGCAAGUAUAUCUAUAGAUGUUUUUAUUAUUUGGCUAAGAAUUUUGUACAAUGUAUUUUGAUCAUAUCCUUCCUUCUUCCCAAUUCUUCCAACAUCUACUUCUA